rnacentral:rRNA from 1 species
AUUGAACGCUGGCGGCAUGCCUUACACAUGCAAGUCGAACGGUAACAGGUCUUCGGAUGCUGACGAGUGGCGAACGGGUGAGUAAUACAUCGGAACGUGCCUAGUAGUGGGGGAUAACUACUCGAAAGAGUGGCUAAUACCGCAUGAGAUCUACGGAUGAAAGCAGGGGAUCGCAAGACCUUGAGCUACUAGAGCGGCCGAUGGCAGAUUAGGUAGUUGGUGGGAUAAAAGCUUACCAAGCCGACGAUCUGUAGCUGGUCUGAGAGGACGAUCAGCCACACUGGGGCUGAGACACGGCCCAGACUCCUACGGGAGGCAGCAGUGGGGAAUUUUGGACAAUGGGCGCAAGCCUGAUCCAGCAAUGCCGCGUGCAGGAUGAAGGCCUUCGGGUUGUAAACUGCGUUUGUACGGAACGAAAAGCCCUGGGUUAAUACCCUGGGGUCAUGACGGUACCGUAAGAAUAAGCACCGGCUAACUACGUGCCAGCCGCCGCGGUAAUAC